GUUUGUUUCUUUGGCUUUGAAAGUUCAAUCACUUUCCCAUUUUCCCGGUGGUCCGGCGGCUACCUCAUCGGCAACUGAGAAAAAUGUCUGAAAAUCACCCUCAUGUUCUCAUCUUUCCUUAUCCAGCACAAGGACAUAUGCUUCCCCUUUUGGAUUUCACUCAUCAGCUAGUCAACAAUGGAGUAUACAUCACUAUUUUAGUCACCCCCAAAAAUCUCCCCUUCUUGAACCCCCUUCUCUCCAGGAACCCAUCAAUCAAAACUCUCGUUUUGCCUUUUCCAUCUCACCCUUCAAUUCCCGCCGGCGUAGAGAACGUCAAGGACCUUCCUGCUAAUGGGUUCCUUUCCAUGAUGUGCAAUCUCGGAAAACUUCGAGAUCCCAUAUUGGAAUGGUUCCACAACCAUCCUUCGCCGCCGUCAGCUAUUAUUUCUGAUAUGUUUUUGGGGUUUACUCACGAAAUCGCCACCCAGCUCGGUAUUCGCCGGUACGUAUUCUCCCCCUCCGGCGCGUUGGCCCUAUCUGUUGUUUAUUCACUUUGGCGUGAAAUGCCCAAAAGGAAAGACCCGAACGAUGAAAACGAAAAUUUUCACUUCCCCAAUAUCCCCAAUUCCCCGAAAUUCCCCUUUUGGCAGAUCUCUCCUAUUUACCGGAGUUAUGUUGAAGGGGACCCAAGUACAGAAUUCAUCAGAGAAUGCUAUCUCGCUGAUAUAGCGAGUCACGGAAUCGUUUUCAACACGUUUAUCGAAUUGGAAAAUGUGUAUUUGGAUUAUCUGAUGAAAGAUUUGGGUCACAACAGGGUUUGGUCUGUUGGACCAGUACUUCCUCCGGGAGAAGAAGAUGAUGUUUCCGUCCAAUCAAACAGAGGCGGUUCGAGCUCUGUUUUAGCCAGUGAAAUACUAGCAUGGCUCGACAAAUGUGAAGAUCACUCAGUUGUAUACGUCUGUUUCGGCAGUCAAGCUGUAUUAACAAACAAACAAAUGGAGGAACUAGCCAUUGCUUUGGACAAAAGUGGUGUCCAUUUCAUUUUGUCAGCCAAAAGAGCCACCAAAGGACACGCUUCAAAUGAUUACGGUGUGAUUCCGUCUUGGUUUGAGGAAAAAGUGGCUGGACGGGGCCUGGUUGUUAGAGACUGGGCCCCACAAGUGUUGAUUUUAAAACACCGAGCUAUAGCCACAUUCUUAACUCACUGUGGUUGGAAUUCGACUCUCGAAAGCUUGACAGCAGGAAUACCAUUGUUAACAUGGCCGAUGGGUGCUGACCAAUUCGCCAAUGCAAACCUUUUAGUUGACGAGCAUGAGGUAGCUAUUAGAGCCUGUGAAGGUGUGCAAACGGUACCAAAUUCAGACGAGUUGGCUGCGCUACUGGCGGAAGCUGUGCAAGGAAACAAGGUAGAAGACCGGAGACUUCGUGCAUCGAAGCUACGAAAAAUUGCAAUUAAUGGCAUUAAAGAAGGCGGGAACUCAUUUAAAGAAUUGGCAGCGUUCGUAAAACAUUUAAGGGAGGAGGCUACAAUAAUCGAAGCGUAAAACUAACUAUGGAGGCAAUUAAAAAUUCUAGAAAGUCCAAAUCAUUAGAUUUAUCGUUUACGAUACAAAUAUGUAAGCAUAGAUUAUUUUAUGGACAAGUGUUUGCAAAUUUG
rnacentral:misc_RNA from 1 species